UACGGAGGGAGCUAGCGUUGUUCGGAAUUACUGGGCGUAAAGCGCGCGUAGGCGGCUUUGUAAGUUAGAGGUGAAAGCCCGGGGCUCAACCCCGGAACAGCCUUUAAGACUGCAUCGCUAGAAUCCGGGAGAGGUGAGUGGAAUUCCGAGUGUAGAGGUGAAAUUCGUAGAUAUUCGGAAGAACACCAGUGGCGAAGGCGGCUCACUGGACCGGCAUUGACGCUGAGGUGCGAAAGCGUGGGGAGCAAAUAGG
rnacentral:rRNA from 1 species